AACUUGCUCCACCGGAAAAAGAAGAGUGGCGAACGGGUGAGUAACACGUGGGUAACCUGCCCAUCAGAAGGGGAUAACACUUGGAAACAGGUGCUAAUACCGUAUAACAAUCGAAACCGCAUGGUUUUGAUUUGAAAGGCGCUUUCGGGUGUCGCUGAUGGAUGGACCCGCGGUGCAUUAGCUAGUUGGUGAGGUAACGGCUCACCAAGGCCACGAUGCAUAGCCGACCUGAGAGGGUGAUCGGCCACAUUGGGACUGAGACACGGCCCAAACUCAUACGGGAGGCAGCAGUAGGGAAUCUUCGGCAAUGGACGAAAGUCUGACCGAGCAACCCCGCGUGAGUGAAGAAGGUUUUCGGAUCGUAAAACUCUGUUGUUAGAGAAGAACAAGGAUGAGAGUAACUGUUCAUCCCUUGACGGUAUCUAACCAGAAAGCCACGGCUAACUACGUGCCAGCAGCCGCGGUAAUACGUAGGUGGCAAGCGUUGUCCGGAUUUAUUGGGCGUAAAGCGAGCGCAGGCGGUUUCUUAAGUCUGAUGUGAAAGCCCCCGGCUCAACCGGGGAGGGUCAUUGGAAACUGGGAGACUUGAGUGCAGAAGAGGAGAGUGGAAUUCCAUGUGUAGCGGUGAAAUGCGUAGAUAUAUGGAGGAACACCAGUGGCGAAGGCGGCUCUCUGGUCUGUAACUGACGCUGAGGCUCGAAAGCGUGGGGAGCAAACAGGAUUAGAUACCCUGGUAGUCCACGCCGUAAACGAUGAGUGCUAAGUGUUGGAGGGUUUCCGCCCUUCAGUGCUGCAGCUAACGCAUUAAGCACUCCGCCUGGGGAGUACGACCGCAAGGUUGAAACUCAAAGGAAUUGACGGGGGCCCGCACAAGCGGUGGAGCAUGUGGUUUAAUUCGAAGCAACGCGAAGAACCUUACCAGGUCUUGACAUCCUUUGACCACUCUAGAAAUAGAGCUUCCCCUUCGGGGGCAAAGUGACAGGUGGGUGCAUGGGUUGUCCUCAGCUCCUGUCCUGAAAAUGUUGGGGUUAAAUCCCCGCAACGAAGCGCAACCCUUUAUUGUUAGUUGCCAUCCAUCCAGUUGGGCACUCUAGCAAGACUGCCGGUGACAAACCGGAGGAAGGUGGGGAUGACGUCAAAUCAUCAUGCCCCUUAUGACCUGGGCUACACACGUGCUACAAUGGGAAGUACAACGAGUCGCGAAGUCGUGAGGCUAAGCUAAUCUCUUAAAGCUUCUCUCAGUUCGGAUUGUAGGCUGCAACUCGCCUACAUGAAGCCGGAAUCGCUAGUAAUCGCGGAUCAGCACGCCGCGGUGAAUACGUUCCCGGGCCUUGUACACACCGCCUGUCAC
rnacentral:rRNA from 1 species